GGAUUGAUGAUGAUAAGAAGUCUCUGAGGAUGCUGACUGACUCAUACAAAUGGCAAUCUGAGGUCC